AAGUCGUAACAAGGUUUCCGUAGGUGAACCUGCGGAAGGAUCAUUAUUGAAUGAACUUGGCGUGGUUGUAGCUGGUCCUCUCGGGGACAUGUGCUCGCCCGUCAUCUUUAUCUCUCCACCUGUGCACACAUUGUAGACCUGGAUAACUUUCCGAGGUAACUCGGCCGUGAGGGAUUGCUGUCAAGCUUUCCUUUCAUUUCUAGGUCUAUGUCUUUCAUAUACUCCAAGUAUGUAACAGAAUGUAAUCUAGGCUUUGUGCCUAUAAACUAUAUACAACUUUCAGCAACGGAUCUCUUGGCUCUC
rnacentral:misc_RNA from 1 species